CCUCUCCAUGACAGCAUUUCCAGCCUUGUGUACAGUAUGCGAACCGAAAAUGUAGUCUCUGUAAUGUGCAAUGGUCUGUGGAUUAUGAAGGAUAAGAAGAUUUUGAACGUGGAUGAGGAAGAAGUUCUUGCAAAGGCAAAGCAAGCUUCCGCAGAAAUUCUGAAGCGGGCAGGGAUCAAAAUACCAAGUAGAAUGAAUUUUCUUUAGGCUCAACGCUCAAGAUACGCCACACGCGAGGCAAUGGAUAAAGGGGUCACUUCACGACAGUAUGCUGCUAUGCUAGAAGUAGGAGAUGUCGGUUUAUUGAACAUAGGAGGGAAGAGAAACGAGAGACACGAAUGCCAUAAACGAUAUCAGUUUGUCCAUCAGGGAAAUAAGUUUGAAACUUUGAAGUGUUGUAAGUGCCCGUUGAUUGAAUAAAAUUGGCAUUUGAAAAGAGAAACACGGGUUUGUAACACGAGAACUGAUGUAUGCACAUUUUUUUAGGCCUAAUUGGAUAAAUGUUCCUCAUGAUAGGAUAUUCAGAAGAU